rnacentral:rRNA from 1 species
AUUGAACGCUGGCGGCAGGCCUAACACAUGCAAGUCGAGCGAGCGGCGGACGGGUGAGUAAUGUAUGGGGACUGCCCGAUAGAGGGGGAUAACUACUGGAAACGGUAGCUAAUACCGCAUACUAUCGGAUAACCCAUAUGGGAUUAGCUAGUAGGUGAGGUAAUGGCUCACCUAGGCGACGAUCCCUAGCUGGUCUGAGAGGAUGAUCAGCCACACUGGGACUGAGAGACGGCCCAGACUCCCACGGAGGUAGCAGUGGGGAAUAUUGAACAAUGGGCGCAAGGCUGAUGCAGCCAUGCCGCGUGUGUGAAGAAGGCCGUAGGGUUGUAAAGUACUGUCAGUAGGGAGGGGUUCCCGACAGAAGAAGCACCGGCGAACGCCGUGCCAGCAGCCGGGGUAAUAC